GAUGAACGCUGGCGGCGUGCCUAAUACAUGCAAGUCGAGCGAAGCGGGGACGGGUGAGUACCACGUGUCUAACCUCCUAUCAGAAUGGGAUCACUUCGGGAACCCGGAUCUCGAUCGGAUCCUUAUAGAUGGAUCUAGGAUGCCUUAGCUAGUUGGUAAGGUAACGGCUUACCAAGGCAACGAUGCAUAGCCGACCUGAGAGGGUGAUCAGCCACACUGGAACUGAGACACGGUCCAGACUCCUACGGGAGGCAGCAGUAGGGAAUAUUGCGCAAUGGGCGAAAGCCUGACGGAGCAAUGCCGCGUGAGUGAUGAAGGUCUUCGGAUCGUAAAACUCUGUAAUUAGGGAAGCGGUACCUAAUCAGAAAGCCACGGCUAACUACGUGCCAGCCGCCGCGGUAAUUC
rnacentral:rRNA from 1 species